AGAGUUUGAUCCUGGCUCAGAAUGAACGCUGGCGGCGUGCCUAACACAUGCAAGUCGAACGGUAACAGGGAGAGGUUUUUAAUCUUUCCGCUGACGAGUGGCAGACGGGUGAGUAACGCGUGGGCAACCUACCUUUGAGAGGGGGAUAACAUCGCGAAAGCGGUGCUAAUACCGCAUGAGGCCUUGUGAUCAUAAGAUGGCGAGGUGAAAGCCGGGGAUCUUCGGACCUGGCGCUUGGAGAGGGGCUCGCGUCGGAUUAGCUAGUUGGUGGGGUGAAGGCCUACCAAGGCGACGAUCCGUAGCCGGCCUGAGAGGGUGAUCGGCCACACUGGAACUGAGACACGGUCCAGACUCCUACGGGAGGCAGCAGUGGGGAAUUUUGCGCAAUGGGGGAAACCCUGACGCAGCAACGCCGCGUGGGUGAGGAAGCAUCUUGGUGUGUAAAGCCCUGUACGAUGGGGACUAAGGUGUGUUGAUUAAGAGUUGACAUACUUGAAUGUACCCGUAGAGAAGCCCCGCUAACU
rnacentral:rRNA from 1 species